UAUAGCAAACUGUACCUGAAACAUUAUUUGCAAUAAUCACAUUUGAUUAGAGAGUGCACUUGUGCUUACUUUCUGCAGGAGUUGACCAUGUUCUGAGAAGCCAGGAGUCAUACCAGUUUUCACUAAGACUUAGCUCCAUGUUCCAGUGUCAACAGAGCCAGCAAAUAUUUAAAUGAGGUUGGGAUACUCAUUCCUUCAUUGCAUUGCUUCAGAGGAGGGGGUCGCUUUGUUCUCUAGCAUUUUAUUAUGAAGAAACAAAGCUUUUUCCAUCAUUGUGUGUUGAAGAUAGAGGUGAAGAACACAAGAUGCCACUGCGUUGGGGGCUAAAACACCUUCUAUGGGAACACAGUUGUGUUACGGCAAAUUGCUGCCCUAGGCAAAAUGUAGCAUGGAGCUCCUGGUGCUUCCUCCACACUCCCAAGGACACACUGUGUUUCCACCACAGGGGUCUUUGCUUCCCUGGCAGGCAGAGGCAGGCACUUCUCUUCCAGUCACUCCUUCCAGCAGCCAGGGGACAUCUGGUAGCAUUUCCUUGUGCUUGCGGCUGGGUAUGUCACGCUUCUCCUGUAGCACCUCCCAGCUGGGAUGUGGUCACUCCUAGCUUGCAGGGUUUGCACUCCGAUCUCAUGCCUCAGGCCAGCCUCCAGGUGCCAGCAGGUUCAGGCAUCCCCGCAACAUCAAACACUCCCUCAAGAGUUUUCCCCCUGAACAUGAGAUCUAUAAACAGGUAUAACCUUAUGUUCAGAUGCAGUCAUGCAACUCCUUGUGCAGCGGCACUGCUGCAAAGAUGAAAUUUCUUCACUCACACCAGCGUUCCCCUGGCGCACUGAAAGACUGGGAAUAGAAGACGGCUUCAACCGAGAAAGCAGCAUCCAUUUGUAUUUAAUAGCUAGCAUUGAUUUCCAAUUUCAUAUUUGCUGAACAGUAGCCACCAGCCACAUUAAAAUUCAUCAUCAUCUUCACUGCACCCUCCACUUCAGAGUCUACCAUCACCUUUAAUGAAUCAAUCCAUAUCCACGUACCAUGUAUGUGUUUU
ensembl:lncRNA